rnacentral:rRNA from 1 species
UGUCCAGACUCCUACGGGAGGCAGCAGUGGGGGAUAUUGCACAAUGGAGGAAACUCUGAUGCAGCGACGCCGCGUGAGGGAAGACGGUCUUCGGAUUGUAAACCUCUGUCUUUGGGGAAGAAAAUGACGGUACCCAAAGAGGAAGCUCCGGCUAACUACGUGCCAGCAGCCGCGGUAAUACGUAGGUGGCAAGCGUUGUCCGGAUUUACUGGGUGUAAAGGGCGUGCAGCCGGAGAGACAAGUCAGAUGUGAAAUCCACGGGCUCAACCCGUGAACUGCAUUUGAAACUGUUUCCCUUGAGUGUCGGAGAGGUAAUCGGAAUUCCUUGUGUAGCGGUGAAAUGCGUAGAUAUAAGGAAGAACACCAGUGGCGAAGGCGGAUUACUGGACGAUAACUGACGGUGAGGCGCGAAAGCGUGGGGAGCAAACAGGAUUAGAUACCCCCGUA